GGUUUGAAAAAAUAUAUUGUUAUUAUUUGUACUGCAACAGCACCCUAGAGACCAUAAUCAGGAUAGAUAAGGGCCAGGGCUAGAUUUAGGGGUGUCAUCACAAUGUCAACUAUAUGAUUAUCUAGCCCAACUGGACUAUUUUUAGCUGUCAGUUGCCGGGGCGGGGUUGGCAGCUGCAAGUCGCGGUAUUUGGGGCUAUUUUGCUGUCCUGCUGCCACUGGCCGCGCUGCUCGGAUGUUCUUGGGAGGGAGGGAGCCUCCUGAUCUGCCCCGCCCCCUGCCAAGAUACCCCACGCGCUGCUUGUCUUACUUCGUGCCCCCUCUCCUUAGGUGACAUUUGCAGUAUGCGCAGAAUUCUUGUCCGAGGAAGGCAAAAUAUUUUUUUUGCAGAAAAUAUGCUGCUGUUCCGUCGUUUGCCCACUAGAUGCCAGUGUGAUACGAGAACAGCCUGAGCUGGAUGACGCUGACUGGUCUGGGAGGCAGUGGCAAACUGCUAGCAGAAUCAGAGAUGCCAUCCAGAUGCCUUUGUCCAUGCUGCCAGCUGGCCAGAAGCUGACACCAGCCUUCUG